GAAGUCAUCCCGCUCUACAGGAAGACAGUAGGAAAACCGAGGUCUGGAAAUGUAAGGUGAUUCUCAUCCUUUGCCACAUGGGAUAUGACAGAGAAGUGGGAGCUGUCUCAUUCUGGUCCUAAGAGGCUGGGCUUCCUGGUUUCACAAGGGUGGAGGACAGUUGAAGAUGCUUCCCUUCCAAAUGGUGGUGCUGAAUGGAUUCCCCACCAUCUGAGGCCCGGCCAUAGUACUCCGUGAUUUCCCAGCAGCUUUGGAUCCCCAGCCUGCACCCUGCCAGCCAUAAUGGGGACGGCUCAGGUUCUGCCCGGCAUCCUGCAGAAGCAUUGCUGCAUCUUACCAGACAGGAACACAGAGUCUCAGUGCACGCUUUGUGGAGAGCCAGAGG